UUUGGAUGAGUUCUUGUAAUUAAGCCUUCUUGAAAAGUUCUUACAAACAUCGUCUGAUUUGUUUUGAUGUAAUACACUUCCCUUUAUCCUAACUGUCUCAUGAAAUUGAAAUGCAAAGAUCAUGUUUAUUGUUAUUGUUGUUGAAAAGGCACAAUAACAAGUGUAAGUGUAUUCUCUUUCCGUCGACUUUCAGUUCUAGUACUAGGACUUCGGGUCUUCUUUAUUUUUUGUUAGUCCUACACUUUAGUAUGACAAUACAUGGGCCCCCUUAACAUAAUGUCCAUAAGACCACAUAAUUAGGCCAAACCAAAAGAUAGCACAUAACAUAUAAUUAUCCAUAUAUUGUUCAUAUGUGUGUAGAUAUAAGUCCAUAUAUCUAGAUAUAAAUCCAUAUAUCUUACAUUA
rnacentral:lncRNA from 1 species